rnacentral:lncRNA from 1 species
UCUCUCUCUCAUUAAUAUCUCCAUGUAUCUUCGAUGAGAUUGCUGGCUUUCAUUUUUUGCCUCUCGAUGCCUUUUUCUCAGGACCUCAAAUUCUGCCUCUACAUCCUUGAUGGCCUACUGCUCGCAUACCGCUGGAUCUUCAAUUACUGCAGCUCGGCCUUUCCCUCCCCAAGAGCGACGGAUAGUUCUUCUGCGAUCCUCCUUAGGGAUUGGA